UACGUAGGGGGCAAGCGUUGUCCGGAAUUACUGGGCGUAAAGCGCGCGUAGGCGGCUUUGUAAGUUAGAGGUGAAAGCCCGGGGCUCAACCCCGGAAUUGCCUUUAAGACUGCAUCGCUUGAAUCCGGGAGAGGUGAGUGGAAUUCCGAGUGUAGAGGUGAAAUUCGUAGAUAUUCGGAAGAACACCAGUGGCGAAGGCGGCUCACUGGACCGGCAUUGACGCUGAGGUGCGAAAGCGUGGGGAGCAAACAGG
rnacentral:rRNA from 1 species